GCCAGUAGCUCGCUGUGUACUUUACCUUUUCGAAAGAAACUAAAACGCCUGAGAGAGUAUGUGUAUACGUUGUCGUUCUAUUUGUAUAGCGGUAUGUCGGCAUGCCGCCGAUUGCUCCUGUACAGGAAACGAUUCGAGGUGUUUCGCCACCAUCUCCAUAGUCAGAUAACAGUGGCUACUAGGAUAUCUAAGUAUUCGAAGCGGAUUUUUUAAUCUAUACAUAUCCGAGCAGACAUCUAUUAGUGGAAUGUCAUCGGAUAAGAACUCUAUUUCAAUAACUUGGCUAAUAGCUAAGAACUAGAAUCUAGAUAAUGAACUUUUGGCAUCUGAAUCGUUGAUGUCAGGCGACUCUGUGAUCCUAUAGGAUUUUUACAGGUACAAAACAUCUUUAAACUGAAUCUUACCGGAAGGCGUCAUCGCGUUAGGCAGAGUUGUGCGUCUGACGAUGCUGCCGUUAUUGGCGGUUUCCGGCAGCACUUGGCAGAAGGGCGGUUGCCCGAAUGGCGUAGCCGGAGGUGGUGGUUCCCUUAACAAACGUAUCUUCUGUAUCAUCUCCCGUA